GAUGAACGCUGGCGGCGUGCCUAAUACAUGCAAGUCGAGCGAACGGACGAGACGCUUGCUUCUCUGAUGUUAGCGGCGGACGUGUGAGUAACACGUGGAUCACCUACCUAUAAGACUGGGAUCACUUCGGGAAACCGUAUCUAAUACCGUAUAAUAUUUUGAACCGCAUGGUUCAUAAGUGAAAUACGGUCUUUCUGUCACUUCUCGAUGCAUCCGCGCUGCAUUAGCUAGUUGUUAAGGUAACGGCUUACCAAGGCAACGAUGCAUAACCGACCUGAGAGGGGGAUAGGCCACACUGGAAGUGAGACACGGUCAAGACGCCUAAGGGAGGCAGCAGUAGGGAAUGUUCCGCAAUGGGCGAAAGCAUGACGGAGCAAGGCCGCGUGAGAGAUGAAGGUGUUCGGAUCGUAAAACUCUGUUAUGAGGGAAGAACAGAUGUGUAAGUAACUGUGCACAGCGUGACGGUACCUAAUCAGAAAGCAACGGCUAACUACGUG
rnacentral:rRNA from 1 species